CGUCGAAAGAUGGGCAGAGAUGUGGUGAGCAUUCAACCUAAAGUAUUGAGUCAAACUCUUCUGGAAAGAAGGACCUUAGAGGGUGAUAGUCCCUUAGACGAAAAUGCAAUGGCGACGCUCAAAGAGUAGGGCCUCUUGAAUUAGAGGUCUGAAUAUAGCAGGAUUAACUGCUAACCCUAAAUAUAAACCAAAGUCCGAUAGCGCACCAGUACCGCGAGGGAAAGCUGAAAAGUACUCUUGAUAGAGGUUGAAAAGAUUUGAAAUUUACUAGCUACAGUUUGCUACUGGUCUUAAUCCCUUCGGGGAAAAGAUUUGUAGCGUACGUUUUGAAAAACGAGCCAGGGAUUUUUUUUAUGUGGCGAGGCUAAUCAUUUAUAAUGAGUAACCAAAGCGCAAGCAAGUCUGAAAAGGCGUUAGUCACAUGGGUAAGACCUGAAGCCAGAUGAUCUAUUUAUGGGCAAGCUGAAGUCUUUCGAAAGGAAGAUGGAGGGCUGAACCGGUGUUGUGAACAUGCACUCGAAUGACCUGUGAAUAGGGGUGAAAAGCCUAUCUAAUUUGGCGAUGGCUGGUUCCUGCUGAAAUAUGCCUACGUAUAGUCUUGUCUAAUCCAAAUUUAUUUGGAGUAAUGAGAAGUUUACUUCUCUUUAGUUUGUUGGCGGCGUAAAGUACGGAUAAAGCUCGCAGGAGCUAUUUCUAUGUUAAGUGUAACAAAAGGUGUCUUAAACCUGAGACACUGGGGAUGUAAGCUUAGAAGCAGCUAUCAUUCAAAGAAAGCGUAACAGCUCACCUAUUGAGGUUUAGGGCCCUGAAGAUGGACGGGGCUAAACAUAGUACCGAUACUUUAGCGAUACCCAGUUGGGUAUUCGAGUAAGCAGGCGUGGUUUUUGCACAGAAGAUUUUUCGAGAGAAAGAUUGGAGCGAAAACUAAUGAGAAUCCUGGUGAUAGUAGGAUGUGAUUUUCCUGAGAAUGGAAAACGUCGAAAGGGCAAGGUUUCCUCGGCAAUAUAUGUUAACCGAGGGUUAGUCAGCGCCUAAGUUGUGUCUUAACUGCGCAUGACGAUGGAUAUCAGGUUAAUAUUCCUGGACUAAUUAAAUCUUACAUAAUAUAAUAUGCUUUCGGAUAAGCAACCAUUUGAAAAAAUGUUUUGGUAAAGAAAUCUGUUGAGGGUAAUCCAUAGAUGCAGAAGAAUUUACUAAACAAAAUUGCUGAUUCCAGGAGCAAGUGAAAAGAUUAUAUUCUUGAUUUAAUAGCUGUACCAACAACCGGCACUGGUGGAUCACAGUAACAAAGAUGGCCCGACUGUUUAACAAAAACGUAGCCACGUGCUAAUCCGAAAGGACUUGUAUACGUGGUGAGACCUGCCCAGUGGUGGUUUCUCAAACCCCUUUUCAAGGGGGCUAAGGCCCAUCAAACGGCGGGAGUAACUAUGACUCUCUUAAGGUAGAUAACGCUGCCUUACGGCAUUUCUCGUCGAGAAAUGACGCUUCAAGAGUUAUAAAAUAAAUAGUUGAAAAGUUACAGAAUUAAAAUUAAACCAAUUUGAAGAAAAUCAAGCUAUAUGCUGGAAAAUCCGAGAAUAUUUGAAUACUCGUCGGUAAAUUAAAAAAAAUUUAAUUUUAUCGUCAGUAAAAAUUUCAAAUUGCGGACAAUCAGCAGGAAAGGCUAGAAUUAGUUGUAAUUUAAAAGAAAUAACAAAAACAAAAAGUUUAAAUAGUUUGGAUUCAUAAAUAAAUUAUGAAAACACAAACAAAAAACCCGUUAGAGAUUCUUUUGGACUGCAGAAUUGCAACAUCAGAAGAAAAACGGAAAAAGUUUAAAGAAAAGAUUAUACCUAACACGGGUGUGCUUUGGGUUGGAAAUGAAGCAUAUCUUAUUGAAGAACCCGAAGGUAAUCUUGAUAGAUAUUCAAAACCAAUUGCUUAUUCUCUUGGUAAGAGUAUUUAAUUAAUUCUAGAAUCCUCAGAGACUGAACGCUUGACAUAGUUUAAUAGAAAAAUUUAUAAGUGCAUUAACAUUAAUCAUAUUAAUUAACUCCAUAGGAUCUUCACGGAUUCUAUGAUUUAUUUUAAUAAUGAAAAGAAUUGUGAUAUAUAUUGACGGCGAGUUUUUUGCUUUUGGCUAAAAUAAAUUAAUUACAAAAGUAAAAGACGAGUUGUAAUUUUUAUUUUUCUGUCAAUAAAACAUUUAAUUGCAAAAUUGAUAUUGAAAAGUUUUGCAAGAAAUUAGCUGGAGAAAAUAAUUUAAUAGAAAUAAAAUAUUAUAUUGCUCCAAUAGAACAAUUAAACAAUCCAGAAAUGUAUGCCAAACAACAAAGUUUCUUUGAUAAAAUUAGAGAAAUUGAAAAUUUUUCAAUCAUCUUUGGCAGAUUA
rnacentral:rRNA from 1 species